rnacentral:rRNA from 1 species
UGGGAAGAGAAUUUAUUCCUUCAGUUCGGCUGGGAGGUGCACAGGUGCUGCAUGGCUGUCGUCAGCUCGUGUCGUGAGAUGUUGGGUUAAGUCCCGCAACGAGCGCAACCCUCAUCCUCUGUUGCUAACAGGCAAUGCUGAGAACUCUGAGGAAACUGCCGGUGAUAAGCCGGAGGAAGGUGGGGAUGACGUCAAGUCCUCAUGGCCCUUACGGCCUGGGCUACACACGUGUUACAAUGGCGGUGACAAUGGGCUGCAACCUUGCAAGAGGAAGCGAAUCUCAAAAAGCCGCCUCAGUUUGGAUUGCACUCUGCAACUCGAGUGCAUGAAAUUGGAAUCGCUAGUAAUCGCGGAUCAGCACGCCGCGGUGAAUACGUUCCCGGGUCUUGUACACACCGCCCGUCACACCAUGGGAGUUGGUUCUACCUUAAGCAGCUGCGCUAACCGCAAGGAAGCAGGCUACCACGGUAGGGUCAGUGACUGGGGUG